UGUCCAGGGAUGGGAAUCGAACCCACAGUGUUCCGCUUACCGGGCAGAUGCCAUGUCCACUAGGCUACCCCUUC
rnacentral:tRNA from 1 species